AACGAACGCUGGCGGCAUGCCUAACACAUGCAAGUCGAACGAGACCUUCGGGUCUAGUGGCGCACGGGUGCGUAACGCGUGGGAAUCUGCCCUUGGGUUCGGAAUAACAGUUAGAAAUGACUGCUAAUACCGGAUAAUGUCUUCGGACCAAAGAUUUAUCGCCCAGGGAUGAGCCCGCGUAGGAUUAGCUAGUUGGUGAGGUAAAGGCUCACCAAGGCGACGAUCCUUAGCUGGUCUGAGAGGAUGAUCAGCCACACUGGGACUGAGACACGGCCCAGACCCCUACGGGAGGCAGCAGUGGGAAUAUUGGACAAUGGGCGAAAGCCUGAUCCAGCAAUGCCGCGUGAGUGAUGAAGGCCUUAGGGUUGUAAAGCUCUUUUACCCGGGAUGAUAAUGACAGUACCGGGAGAAUAAGCCCCGGCUAACUCCGUGCCAGCAGCCGCGGUAAU
rnacentral:rRNA from 1 species